GAAGGGGCGCCCAGCAAGCUCCACUGCUAUAUACUAGUCUUUACGUAUAUUCUCAUGAGCUACGUCCGCCUUUUCUUCUUUUGCUAGUGUUCUCCGCACACAUCUACAUCUUUUGGAUUCAUAGAGCAGUUACAUGAACGUGAAACUCCAUUCAGAGAUGUCACAGGAGCUGUGCGGAUGAUGACCCGGACUUUAACUCUCAGCAAGCGAACCUCCUCUUCAAUACCGGCAAAACCCCUGUUGAAACCGUGGUGCUGAGUCUUCCUGGUCCUGAAGACAAAUUUGAUUCUCAUUUCCACAACAAAUAAGACUGUGAGUAAGAAAUGUGGUGUUGAUGAUCAAGAUGUUGAUUUGCAGCAACCGACUAUCCUCAAUACUGGUAAAACCUUGAGGAGACAGUGGCGUUUGGUCUAUUUGGUCCGAAAGGCUCUUGAUGCUCAUUCCGACCAAAAGCGACUCUGUGAUGGAGACACAACUUGAAGUGAGUAGUCUCAAAUCAUCGCUCUCCCAUCACAAGACCACAACCCUUUCGCGAGAACUCACCAGCAAAAAACUACGUGAUACAAUCCUACAGUCAUGAUUUUUCACUUACCAAGAACCGUGAUUAAUAUUCUUUUGAUAGUUGAUCAACGGGAAACUCCAUUCCCAGAUGUCACAGAAGAGCUUCGUGGGUGACUUGGACAUCGAGUCUCAGCAAGCGAUCGUCCUCGUCAAUACAGGCGAAGCUCUGAGGAGACGGUGGCGUGUGGUCUACUUGGUCCUGAAGGCUGUCCAAACGCUUGCUCCGACAGCAAAUGACAC